UAGGGAAUCUUCCGCAAUGGACGAAAGUCUGACCGAGCAACGCCGCGUGAGCGAUGAAGGCCUUCGGGUCGUAAAGCUCUGUUGUUAGGGAAGAACAAGUACCGGAGUAACUGCCGGUACCUUGACGGUACCUAACCAGAAAGCCACGGCUAACUACGUGCCAGCAGCCGCGGUAAUACGUAGGUGGCAAGCGUUGUCCGGAAUUAUUGGGCGUAAAGCGCGCGCAGGCGGUCCUUUAAGUCUGAUGUGAAAGCCCACGGCUCAACCGUGGAGGGUCAUCGGAAACUGGGGGACUUGAGUGCAGAAGAGGAAAGCGGAAUUCCACGUGUAGCGGUGAAAUGCGUAGAGAUGUGGAGGAACACCAGUGGCGAAGGCGGCUUUCUGGUCUGUAACUGACGCUGAGGCGCGAAAGCGUGGGGAGCAAACAGGAUUAGAUACCCUGGUAGUCCACGCCGUAAACGAUGAGUGCUAAGUGUUAGAGGGUUUCCGCCCUUUAGUGCUGCAGCUAACGCAUUAAGCACUCCGCCUGGG
rnacentral:rRNA from 1 species